rnacentral:sRNA from 1 species
GCUGGGUGCGGUAGAGCACGCCUGUAAUCCCAGCAGCUCAGGAGGCUGAGGCAGGAGGAUCAUGAGUUCAAAGCCAGCCUCAGAACUCAGCAAGACCCUGUCUCUA